AGGGAAUCUUCCACAAUGGACGCAAGUCUGAUGGAGCAACGCCGCGUGAGUGAAGAAGGUCUUCGGAUCGUAAAGCUCUGUUGUUGGUGAAGAAGGAUAGAGGCAGUAACUGGUCUUUAUUUGACGGUAAUCAACCAGAAAGUCACGGCUAACUACGUGCCAGCAGCCGCGGUAAUACGUAGGUGGCAAGCGUUGUCCGGAUUUAUUGGGCGUAAAGCGAGCGCAGGCGGAAUGAUAAGUCUGAUGUGAAAGCCCACGGCUCAACCGUGGAACUGCAUCGGAAACUGUCAUUCUUGAGUGCAGAAGAGGAGAGUGGAACUCCAUGUGUAGCGGUGAAAUGCGUAGAUAUAUGGAAGAACACCAGUGGCGAAGGCGGCUGUCUGGUCUGUAACUGACGCUGAGGCUCGAAAGCAUGGGUAGCGAACAGGAUUAGAUACCCUGGUAGUCCAUGCCGUAAACGAUGAAUGCUAGGUGUUGGAGGGUUUCCGCCCUUCAGUGCCGCAGCUAACGCAUUAAGCAUUCCGCCUGGGGAGUACGACCGCAAGGUUG
rnacentral:rRNA from 1 species